rnacentral:rRNA from 1 species
UACAGAGGGUGCAAGCGUUAAUCGGAAUUACUGGGCGUAAAGCGAGUGUAGGUGGUUUGUUAAGUCAGGUGUGAAAUCCCUGGGCUCAACCUAGGAAUUGCAUUUGAUACUGACAGGCUAGAGUGUAGAAGAGGAUAGUGGAAUUCCCGGUGUAGCGGUGAAAUGCGUAGAUAUCGGGAGGAACAUCAGUGGCGAAGGCGGCUAUCUGGUCUAACACUGACACUGAGACUCGAAAGCGUGGGGAGCAAACAGGAUUAGAAACCCCCGUAGUCC